rnacentral:lncRNA from 1 species
ACAAACAAUUAAAGAAUUACAAUAAAGUACUUGAACACUUAUUAACUCUCAAGUCAGUGUUUUCCCUACUACAGUAAAAUGCUGUUUAGCUUCUAUCCCUUCCUCCACCUUCCAGAUUUUUCUUUUAAGGCCUUUUCUAAGUUAUACUGCAUAUCAAACUUCCCUAUUAUUGAAGGAUAUAAGGUAGAAGGUAAAAGCCAUUUUCCGAUAAGUAACUUGGGCAUUUGCAAAGGUUUUUCUCAAGUACGGUUGUAACUAUACUAAAAUAUACUAAUAUUGUGUUAUGAUAUACCUUGCUUUUUUUCUUUUCUUUUUUCUUUUGAGACAGAGUUUUGCUCACGUGGUGAAUCAGACCAAUGCCCAAGGCCAGCAAGAGAUUGUCUACUAUGUGCUGUCUGAAGCCCCAGGGGAGCCUCCCCCAGCCCCUGAGCCACCUUCAGGGGGCAUCAUGGAAAAGCUUCAAGGAAUAGCUGAGGAGCCAGAGAUCCAGAUGGUUUGUGAGCCACCAAGCCCAGCUGGUGCUGUAUUUUAAGUUGUAAUUGUUACUUCAUCUUUACUAUUGGACUUGGAAGU